UACGAAGGGGGCUAGCGUUGCUCGGAAUUACUGGGCGUAAAGCGCACGUAGGCGGAUCUUUAAGUCAGGGGUGAAAUCCUGGAGCUCAACUCCAGAACUGCCUUUGAUACUGGGGAUCUCGAGUCCGGGAGAGGUGAGUGGAACUCCGAGUGUAGAGGUGAAAUUCGUAGAUAUUCGGAAGAACACCAGUGGCGAAGGCGGCUCACUGGCCCGGUACUGACGCUGAGGUGCGAAAGCGUGGGGAGCAAACAGG
rnacentral:rRNA from 1 species